rnacentral:rRNA from 1 species
GGAAUCUUGCACAAUGGGGGAAACCCUGAUGCAGCGACGCCGCGUGAGCGAUGAAGCCCUUCGGGGUGUAAAGCUCUUUCAGCAGGGACGAUAAUGACGGUACCUGCAGAAGCAGCUGCGGCUCACUACGUGCCAGCAGCCGCGGUAAUACGUAGGCAGCAAGCGUGGUUCGGAAUUACUGGGCGUAAAGAGUGUAUAGGCGGUUCAGCAAGUUCGGUGUGAAAUCUCCCGGCUUAACUGGGAGGGUGCGCCGAAAACUGCUGUUCUAGAGUGUGGGAGAGGAGAGCGGAAUUCCUGGUGUAGCGGUGAAAUGCGUAGAUAUCAGGAGGAACACCCGUGGCGAAGGCGGCUCUCUGGACCACUACUGACGCUGAGACACGAAAGCGUGGGGAGCAAAC